rnacentral:lncRNA from 1 species
UUAGAAGUUAGAAAAAAAGCUUUGGACGUAAUUUUGAAAGCUCGCCGAAAGGAAAAGUCCGGAGUGCGCUCAUUUUCAGUCCCUCCUAUCAAUUAUGAAAGCUAGUGACUACAUAUCCAUGAACAACUGGAAACAAAUCGAAAUCACAGAACCUCCGGUGCAGCAAUUCAGUCAAGAAGAAGACCUGCAAACUUUGGUUUUGUCAAAAGCUGAUGCACCAUUCAAACAUUUUCCCUGUCACAGCUAAAGUGUCGAAAGGUGUGUGAAGAUCGUCACCGAAGCUGGAGGAAAAUGCUGUGGACACGAAUAAAGAGAUGGAUACAUUCGAGCUCAACUUAAGUCGCGUCACUUGAUGUCGUCCUUCAACACAAAAUCGGAGUACUAACAUCACAACGACUAGUGAGACACUGAUAUUAUCAACUACCAGUGUUUUACGCGUGUGGCUGAGCCGAUACAACAGUUCAUCGAAGGUUUGAGUAUGGGCGGUGUUUUAAAAGUAAUGAAGCGUAAUCCUGAUAAAUUUAAGAAAUAUUUCUUGAAAAGUUCUCCACUUUCUCCGGCAGAGAUAUCUGAUUUAUUCCAACUUGAUUCCUUUUUGUGGGCUUCAGCCCCAGAGCCGGCAAUGACUUACUGGAACCGGCUGUUGAGAGACUUGGCUAAUGUUCCCGCCGGCAGCGGGCAGCGUCCCGCAGACUGAGCCGGAACAGACGAAGAAACCUGAAGAGAAGGAUCCUGAGGCGGAACAGACGAAGAAACCUGAGCCGGAACAGACGACGAAUCCUGAAGAAAAGGAGCCUGAGCCGGAACAGACGAAGAAACCUGAAGAGAAGGAGCCGGAACAGGAGGAGGAGGCGGAAGAUGCGGUCAUUGUGCGGCCUUGUGAGGCGUCCCCACCCGGACAGGGAGAGCCCCGAGAGACCCAUAAGAAUAGACGCAUAACGGAGCUCACGCCAUAAUACACAUAGUUCCGUCCGACAGAAGCACAUCCAAUGGACCACUAGACAAGGUACGAAUUUCAGCAUUCUGAUACAUGCUUCUUGACCAAAAUUUCACGUAAAACUCGAUGCGCACAAGGAAAAUUACCGAAUCAACUCCUUACGAAGAUAUUCAAGAAUUCUUGAUGCGUGAGUUCAAACCACCCGCUCAUGAAAGCUCAAUGCUCUACGUGAUUCACAUCGUGCGGUAAACGUUAUCAUGACAGUCUCUGCGAUAUAAAAAUCUGGCAACCUCAAUCUUGAUGUUUGGCUUAGCCGUAGCAAAUUACUUAUAGUUUGAACAACACAUGGUGAGAAAUGAAUAUUGCUCGAUUGAGAAGAGUGCUGAAACAGUUGUAGUGCGCGAUUUGACUCACGUAGAGCUUUGAGUUUCUUGUAAGCGGGCAGUUCAAAUUCCUUGAAACAAAUGUGAAAUAAAAACGUUAAUAUCUUCGUUAGGAGUUGGUUUCAGCAAUUUUCGUUGUGCGAAUCGUGAUUUACUUGAAAUUUUGGUUAAGGAACAUGUAUCAGAUUGCUUAAAUUCGUACCUUUUCUAGUGGUCCAUUAUUAAAAUAAAAAGAAAUCUCAUCUGAAAUAUGCUUUCAAUAGGCGUACAGAGUGCGCUGGGCCGCCCGAUCCGUAGAUCGUAAGCGGACUGUGUGGAUUCGCUGCCGCGCAUUCGAAUUAUUGCGGGUCAAAAAAGGCGCGCCUGCCCGCCCACAUAAUACACAGCGCCUUCGACAUCGUAGAAAUACUUCAAACGCUACACCGUUACACAUACGUCCCGAUGCGCAAAUUGCCUAUACUGCGCCUGCCGGAGUGUGCACCACUGCGUGACGGUGUAGCGUUGGAGGUAUUCCCAGGAUGUCGAAGGCGCUGUGUAUAGUGUGCGCGGGCGGGCGUGCCUUUUUCAGCCCGAAACAAUUCGAAUGCACGGCAUCAGCAAAUUUAAAUUAUCACAACAUUGAGUAUGAACCGUAGUCAAGCGUACGAACAUUCGAGAGUUACCUUUCCCUCGAUGAAAUGUUUAUUUUUGAGGAAAGUGGUCCUUGUCUAGCGGUCCAUUCUUUGAAAAGAAUCGUCCAGCGGGCCCGGAAUGCUACCGACACAGCGCCCUCAAACCCCAAAUCACGCGAGAAAUUUGUACUCCCGACGAAUACAAGAAGACAACGGACGGAAGACAUUUUCUUUUCUUCGAUAGUGGGCCUACAGCGAAGAGGGUGUUGAUGUUUGCUACGGGAGAAGCGUGUAUACUUUUACGAUGAAAGGGAGACAUCCUCAGCUCGUUGGCUGCGAGAGCGCACGAGAGCGUGGUCCCUGCAGGCAUCCAGUUGAGUCGUUUCCUCUUCUGAGAUGAAAGAACAAUGUUCAUCCCACAUUUUUACUCCCCCUCCUCCCCUGAGCUCAAACCAAAUUUUUACUGUCUCGCUCCCCUAGGGUAGGGGAAGUAUUGUUAUCCCGCAAGGGGGGGAAAAAAAGUUGAAAUUUCAUCAUUGCUAGAUGUUUUAAGGCCCCAGGAGUCAAAAUAACCAUACUUGAAAAAAUGUGUGUCCGUCCAUCGGGCGUACCCCAAAUCUGUGUACAGCGAUAUCUCAGAAUCUAUCUGUUUAAUUUCAUUCAAAAUUUGUACAGAACACCAUAUCUAUGCUUAUGCACGUCACACGAUUUUGGGGUACGCCAAAAUUUGGGGGAGCUACACUGGGAAAAAAAGUCUGCUACGGUCAAGCCGUCUCGGAGUCUUGAGAAAAAAUAAGCUUGAUUCAAGAAUUUUUAUCUUAAAACAAGCAAUUUAUUGCUAAAUUCAAGAUUCGAGAUUUUUAUUUGCAGCUACCCUAUAGCUUGGAUCACUUGCUAGCUUGAUUUAAGCAGCACAAAAAUCUUGAGUCAAACCUGCUGAGUCUUACAUCAAGCCACCAUGACUGCUAAUUCUAAGAAGUUGUUUCUUGAUUCAAGAUACUGUAUACUCGAUUUAAGAAUCCUGGUUUCAAGCAUGACACGAAUCUUGGAAAUAGCUGAAAAAAUUAGACUUAAAUUAAGUUUGCAGCCAACUUUUUGAAUUAAGUUUCCAUUGAAUUAUAACCACUCCGCCUUUAUUUUCGACACGGGCAUUAAGUUACACAUUCCUACAUUCUCAAGUCAUUCCAAGAGAUCUCCAAAAGCCGAGCAUUUUAACAGUGCUGCAAACCGAGAACAAAACCCGCGCGGCAACGCACGACGACUUCAACAUGAUCCAUGUCGAAGAAUCAGUAACGUUUUAUCUCUACGUUACGGAUGAAAAAUGAAUAUAACUUUCAGUAUUUAGUAUUGGAUCCGAGCAUUAAACGAAAAAUAAUUGAGAUUCCGCCGGGUAGCUAAUUUCAAGCAGCACAGCCAUGCUUAUUUCAAGCUAUACGUUUCUUUGCGGCAAAUUUAAGAUUUUUUCCAGCUUGCUUCAAGCUGAUUUUGAUUUGUUUCAAGCUACUUUUUUUCCAGUGUAGGCUAAAUUGUCCAUUUUUAGCAAAAUCACACGGAAAGCUCAUUUUAAAGGAGUGUAAAUUUUGAAAUAUGCCUUUAAUUCUUUAACAAUGGGCAUCAAGCACAUCACCUGGGUCAUUAAUUUAAGUUCCUUAAAGAUCUUUGGACUAAACUCAAAAUUCAAGGGAUUACAAGGCCACUUAGCCAAGUAGGCACUUAUCAAGUAGGGCACUUCACCCCGUGACAUCACACAAACAGCUCAUUAUCAAAGACUGUAAAUUUUUUUAAUCUUCUUUUUACCUUUCUUCCUCUUUUAGGAUUCCAGUUUUGCCCUGUUAAAUGAUUUAUCCUCAAGAGAAACCGUGCCUCAAUGGUUAGGCGGAUGGGGAGGCACGGGCGGGACUCGACGCGUAGCCACACACGAGCCCCCCCCCCCCCCCCCCCGGGUGUGUGUCCUGGAUAGUUGAGAAUAUAAGUCAUAAAAUAAUGACUUCAACAAGCUUAGAGCUAUGCACUUGAUGACAUACCAGAGUUCGCUGUGAUACCUGAGUCGGUCAUUUCUGUAUUGCUUAGAUGAAAAUCACAGUAAAAAACGACAAAACUGUUAAUCUUCUCGAUUAUCCUACUCACAGCCUUAUUUGCAAGAAGGAGGAUCAGAUGCACCAUGGAAUCCCGUCUAAAUUCUAGAGAGAGAGAUGUCUAAAUUUGUGGAUAAAAAAAUUUCCCAAAAUAUACCACCAGCAAUUAUAUGUAUAUGACCAUUGUUAGAGAGAAUUUUCUUGCAAUGGAUCGCCCGGAUGCUCAUGGUACCGGAGUAGGUAAUCUUACAAAGGGGUUGAAGGCGUAAGCUCAUUGUGCAGAGCCAUGACAAAGAUGACGCCAAAAGCAUUUUUUUGUUGGCAUUAGAACGAAUUAAAAAAAAAAAAAAAAACACUGCUAAUUUACAAACCAUUGGUCUCAAAAGUAGUUCAUGGACCACAAGCCAUCGAUGAUCUUCCAAACUCUAAGGAAGAUCUAUUUUUAUUUGCGCUUCUAACAGAAAGUCAACUUGCUCUGUUGAAAAGGCAUGACCCUAAAAGUAUAAUUAUUGAUGAAACACACGGAACUAACCAGUAUAAGUAUCAGCCAAGGAGCUGUGGGCCGGUA